UUAGAUCACGCAUUUCAGUCUCCGCCCAAAGACCUCACGAUUGUAAAAUCGCAAUAACUUAAGCAACAGCGAGUUAAGAAAGGAAGUGAAACUGAAUCAAAUCCGGUUUACAAAGCAAUAAUGAACGUUAUUAAAAGAAACAAAGUAGACCUUAUUGAUUGGCUUAGUGCACAGCCUGACUACAUUUUGCAGCACGCACAUAGUAAAAGUAUCCUAACCGACCGAGAGUACAAUGAACUAAAGCAUCUAUCAAGACCAGAGCAAAAAGUGAUUGAUCUUCUUGACCUUAUUAUGGGCAAAACGGAGGAAUUAUGUCAUCAAUUUUUAGAUAUCCUCAAAAAAGACAAUGUGAAAGCAACCUAUCCUCAAUUAAAAGAAUGGGAACGCAAGGCGGAGGAACCACGAUCAGUGUCAUUUUAUCAGUCUGUGCAGGCCGAAGGAGGAAGUAAUGUUAUUGCCCCUUGUAUUAUGUCUUCUAAAAUGCAAGGGACUAACAUGGGUAUAAACAUACAAACUACACUUCCCAGCAACUAUGGCAAGAGAAAUUAUCCAUCUUGUAAGUACAGUUAUCAACAGAAGCUUUUAUGCUACAGCCAAAACCUGCACCACACCUACAAUACUUAGUUUUCUCACUUCAUGCUUCAUGAGGAAAAGGGCAGCUAAAAGUAUCUGGCAUUUGGUUGUUAAUUAUUUUUAGAAUCAAACAUGAGAUUUUAUAC